AGGUGUCCGCUGCGAAAUGGGAUGCUGUGCCUAUGCCAAGCACUCCCCCCCACCCAUGAAGGAGGAUGGGUGCACGGCAUAGGCAACCCCCCCCGUCAUCGGGGCAACGGGGGGGGAUGUCGGUCCGGUGGUCUCCGACCACCGUUCCGGCCGUCGGUCCGGUGAAAACGGUCAGGUGGGCUAGUAGGGCUGCGAUGCUAUUUUUCGAGAGGCGAGGGACGGCACACCUCGGAUUUCGGUCUUUCCAACGUAUUCGGAGGGCAUUCGUGACCAUGGCUUCGGCUUUGGGACGAGCGAGCAAACGGAGAGUACUGCGGUCGGGUCAAGAUUUGAGUUUUACUCUCUCGGGGGGGCGCAGAACUGUCUCUAGUUUCUCGCCUGGCCGUUGAUGGAGAUAAUUCGUUAUCCUCCGUCCUGUCCCGUCGGAAAUUUUUAAAACUUGGUCUGGUGGGCUAGUGGUGCUGUGUUGAUCUUUCUCGAGGGGAGAGGGACGGUUCAUCUCGGAUCUCGAUCUUUCCAACGUGUUCGAAGGGCAUUCGUGACCAUGGCUUCGGCUGUGGGAUGAGCGAGCGACCGGAGAGUACCGCGGUCGGGUCAAGGUUUGAGUUUUAACCUCUCGGGGGCGCGCAACACUGUCUCUACUUUCUCGUUUGGCCGUUGAUGGAGAUAUUUCACUCUUCUCCAUCCUGUCCCGUCGGAAAUUUUUAAAACUUGGUCUGGUGGGCUAGUGGUGCUGUGUUGAUCUUUCUCGAGGGGAGAGGGACGGUUCAUCUCGGAUCUCGAUCUUUCCAACGUGUUCGAAGGGCAUUCGUGACCAUGGCUUCGGCUGUGGGAUGAGCGAGCGACCGGAGAGUACCGCGGUCGGGUCAAGGUUUGAGUUUUAACCUCUCGGGGGCGCGCAACACUGUCUCUACUUUCUCGUUUGGCCGAUAAAAAGAGAUGAUGAUUCAUUAUGCCCCAUAUCAAAACAUUCCGAAAAAAUGUGGAAGAACUAGCAUGCUUCGGCUUGUGCUAACUUGAUGCAUCAUAAGGUUUGUUGCGGUGGGUUGGGCGUAAUGGAGAGUCGUUGGUUUUUUAAAAUGCUUUCCAAAUGUCCCUUAAAGGUUUUCGUCCCUCGGAUUGUGUGUUUCUUCACGUGAAGCGGUGCUGGUGUGGUCUUGCUUGACGUUUCCGCAUGCUCAGCGGUUCUAGUAACCGUUGGGUUGUGGUUCGUUUGGUUGGGUCAUCAUCGGACGUACGCAACUCAUGUGUGAGUGGUGGUCGGAUGGCAUGGGUCUGCAAGCUCCUUGCUCAGCGCAACGAAUUGUAAGCCCUCCAUCCUUUUCAUAGUCUUCCCACAAGCAUGGUCAUUUGCCUUGUGGGUAAGAUCGGUAUCCUGUGUUUUUUACCAAUUGAACGGAAUUCGAUUGUUUUYGUUUCCUUAUUCGCCCGGUUCCCUUAGGGGUGUUGGGCGGACGAUAGGCUGACCUCGUGUUCCAGGUACAUCUCGCAUUUUUGCUUGGUUUUACCAUGGCCCAUGGGGUUAUGCUUGUUCUCUCGGACGCGGACCGUUAGUUGUGGGCGAGGGGUUACGGCCUCCAUUCGUCCAAGCUAUAGUAUGCAUUUGUCAAUCGACACGAACGACCGCCGCACUCGUCUUGGCUUUUUAUAGUCGAAUGGCUGUACAAUGUCCAUGCGAGUGUCGGUGUCGUGGAGGAAAUGC
rnacentral:misc_RNA from 1 species